CUCUCCUACUCGUUGCCAGAUUGUACUUCAGUUUUUUCAGUGAGAUUGCCAUGCACGCUUCCCGCUCUCGUGCUGAUCACUUCCCUGUCUGAUGCUGAACCUGCCUGCCUUGGCCUGAGCUCCAGUUACCCCCUGUGGAAGGACGCCAGAGAGAGGGACUGCUCCGCUCGAUACCCAUGGCGCCAUUUCCACAGAGUGAACUCCAAAUAAAAGACUUGUAUUUUCACUA